UUCAAUUUUGGGGCAUUAAAAUCACCUUUCAAUAUGGGCGCUUCGGUGAUUUUGGAGCAAGUAGCGCAACCGACCAUCAGGU
rnacentral:ncRNA from 25 species